rnacentral:rRNA from 1 species
GUGUCAGCAGCCGCGGUAAUACGGAGGGUGCGAGCGUUGUUCGGAAUUACUGGGCGUAAAGAGCACGUAGGCGGAUGGGUAUGUCGAUUGUGAAAUCCCCGGGCUCAACCUGGGAACUGCAGUCGAAACUGCCUAUCUUGAAUACUUGAGAGGGUGGGGGAAUUCCUGGUGGAGAAGUGAAAUUCGUAGAUAUUAGGAGGAACACCGGAGGUGUAGACGCCUGCCUGGCAAGCUAUUGACGCUGAGGUGCGAAAGCAUGGGGAGCAAACAGGAUUAGAUACCCUGGUAGUCCAUGCCCUAAACGAUGGUUACUAGGUGUUCGGUAGAUUUACCUACUGAGUACCGAAGCUCACGCAUUAAGUAACCCGCCUGGGAAGUACGGUCGCAAGACUAAA